rnacentral:tRNA from 1 species
GUGGUCGUAACUCAAUCGGUGAGAGCGUCUGACUGUGGAUCAGAAGAUUGCGAGUUCAAGUCUCGUCGAUCACC